rnacentral:piRNA from 1 species
UAUCUUUAUCUUUUGAAGGUGCUGUUGU